rfam:Nicotiana attenuata strain TT chromosome 8, whole genome shotgun sequence.
AAUUCUGAACCCUGAACCAGAGAUUCUGGUCUGCGAAACCAGAGAUUCUGGGUUCGAUCCCCAGCAGAGUCG